rnacentral:antisense_RNA from 1 species
CAUUAUGGCGGCUGUGUGCGGGCAGACUUAGGUCUGGCUGGGUGCCUACGACCGGUAUUCUCACCCCGUUCACAGCUGCCACCUCU